rnacentral:misc_RNA from 1 species
GGAAGGAUCAUUAACACGUGAUACACGUUUUCCAAUAUCAACCAACCUCGACGAACCUGUGUCUCAAAUCUUUUGGGUUACUUCUUGUGUGUCUUCCCCCUCGGGGGAGGGUAUCAAGACUUAUCCUUUGCUGUCAGCCCUCUCAUGGAACUUCGUGUGUCUUUGAUGGUUGAUGGACAAGGGACCUUGAGUGUGAAAGAAUGUAGGUGAUUAGUUUAACAGCUGGUCGGAGUGUGCUGUGAACAGGUGGCCGAACGCGUUGGUCUCCCCCCUCGGGGAGAAGCCAUCUUUAGUAGGGUGUCUAUUCAGCAUGCAUACGAUCCCGGUUUUCGUUCACCUAAGUGCUUUCCCUCUUUGGCCCAGGGCUUUGAGGUUUUGUUGUCUCAUCCUACCCUCUGCGGGGGGUGUGGAUUAUUUUACCCGUUUUUAGAUGUGAUGCCCAGUUUAGUGUUAGGCUAUGACAAACAGUGGUUCAACCUUUGACUUGAAUGGACCCAUUGACGAUCUUCCUUCGGGAGGGUCUCUGGGACUGAUUGAGUUGAAGGACUACUGGAUAAGGACUGAGGGAGUAUAUUGCGGUUCUUCUCGGAGAACUGUGUCAGAAACUUUAGUCUUUGUCUCUAGUCGAGACUGGUGGGAUCCACAUUACGUUUAAAAACUUGCUGUUCUAAAUUCAAUACUUCUGCUAUUGAAAGGGAUUCCCGAAAGGGUAAUUUCCUUUUAAUGCAAACUCUGAACAACUCUGAGCAACGGAUGUCUUGGUUCCCGCAACGAUGAAGAACGCAGCAAAAUGCGAUAAGUAAUGCGAAUUGCAGAAUUCAGUGAAUCAUCGACUCUUCGAACGCAACUUGCACCCCAGCCGUUCCUACGCCUCAAAACGUACACGGGGGGUACGUACUGUUCAGUGUCGACCGAUCCUCCUAAGGCCUAUGCCUUAAUCUUCGGGGUUCUGGCUCUUCAGUUGGGCGAACCCUUGGGCAUGAUCGUUGGUGCUUUACUUGGUAGGCUGCUUCACUUUACGAAAGAGGAAGUUGAGGAUGAGAAACGCCGGUUCACACUGGCCGCUUUCAACCAUGACAGACACUUUCAACGGAGUGGAAUCUCUCAGCUGGAUUAAGUAAGGCCCUUACUGUUGGCUUGCCACAGUGGGGACGACAUAUUAGCCCAGUACUUGUGAGUGUUCCUUUGAACUUUAUCUCUCCUAGCGGGAGGUAACUAGUGAGAAGGUCACUUGAAAUUAGAAAUCUCUUGUGCGACCAGAGUUGGCCACUGGAGAGACUGCCACCUGUUACCUCUUCUAGGGCAGGGUUGGAUGGCUGGGUGAAACCAGUAUCAACAUCCGCCUGUUCCUGGGCUCAAAAGAGACCAAGUGGGCUGCACACAGUUUCUCAAUUUCAACAGUAGCUAACACACCAAAUCUGACUUGUCACACAGUGAGUUCACCUGAGCACAAGGUAUCGACCCUGUCUCAACCCCUUUUGUAGCAAUGUGCGCUGCAAGAACCAUUUCAACCCUAGACCUGAACUAGUAUGAGAAUACCCGCUGAAUUUAAGCAUAUUAUUAAGCGGAGGAAAAGAAACUAACAAGGAUUCCCCUAGUAACGGCGAGUGAAGCGGGAAUAGCUCAAAGUUUAAAUCCCCCACCUUCGCGGUGUGUUGGGAGUUGUAAUCUAUGACGGGUGGCCAGCGUGUGACCCAGGUAUAACUCUUUGGAAAAAGGGAUCAUAGGGGGUGAGAAUCCCGUCUGUGACCUGGAGUUCGCCGCGUACGGUACCUGUUCUGAGAGUCGCGUUGUUUGGGAGUACAGCGCAAAAUGGGUGGUAAACUUCAUCUAAAGCUAAAUAUUGGCGGGAGACCGAUAGCGAACAAGUAGCGUGAGCGAAAGAUGAAAAGAACUUUGAAAAGAGAGUUAAAAAGUACCUGAAAUUGCUCAGAGGGAAGUUAUGGAAACCAGUCUAUCCUUGGGCGAUAUUUACCGCUGAUUGGAUCGUAGAGGCGUAAGUACGGAGUGGCCAAGAGCUACCCGGAUUUUGUCUCGCUGCUUUUCAGUCAGUGGGUCCUGUCGUCUAGGGCGUGUCAGAAUCAGUUUGGUUGGCCGGAGAAAGCUCGAGGGAAGGUGAGAAGCUAUGGGGUUCGCUUCAUAGUUUCUGUUAUAGCUCUCGGGAAAGAUACGGUCGACUAGACUGAGGUAAAUAUUCGAUAAGGCACCCUUCUUUAUGGAGGAUGUGGGUCCUUUACCUAUUCGGUCUCUGUUGGCUUGGACAGCAAAGCUGUGCGGUUGACAAGGCUGGAUAUCGUGAGGGAGUGCUCAUUCGUGUCCUUAGCGAUUCUGACGAAAUGGUUUUCAUUGACCCGUCUUGAAACACGGACCAAGGAGUCUAACAUAUAUGCGAGUAUUUGGGUGUUUCAAACCCUAAAUGCGUAAUGAAAGUGAAGGAGGACUUGUGCCUCUGAGGUAGGAACUUUGGCUUCGGCUGAAGGGCACUAUCGACCGAUCGAUCACUUGUGAUAGAUUUGAGUCAGAGCAUAUCUGUUGGGACCCGAAAGAUGGUGAUCUAUGCCUGAUCAGGGUGAAGCCAGGGGAAACUCUGGUGGAAGCUCGUAGCGAUACUGACGUGCAAAUCGUUCGUCUGAUUUGGGUAUAGGGGCGAAAGACUAAUCGAACCAUCUAGUAGCUGGUUCCCUC